rnacentral:lncRNA from 1 species
AGAGGGCCAAAAAGGGUGGAGGUGACCACAAAAUUAGGGUUUACAUCUACCGAAUACGGGGUAGAAGACCAACAACUCCGCGUGGGGAUAGAACAAAUCACAAAUCCGCACAGGAAACCAAGAUAGGGUUUAUAACAAACCACAAACUGCUGGAGAGCAGGAAAAUAGGAUUUACGACUACCGGUAUGUGGUAGAAAACCAACAA